UGUGUUAAAGCAACAGCUGAAGGUGGAAGAGGAGAAGAUAAUGAUAAAUAUAAUAUAAAAAGGCGUUCAGCGAGAGAGAAGCUUUUGGAUUAAUUUUACAAAACGUGAGAAUUUGAGUGGUCACAAGGAUCAAUCUGGGGUUUCAUCAUCUCCUGCUUAUUUCUCAGCUGAAAGAAUAAUCUGUGAAAUCAAUUGGUUCCUGCAGGAAUGAUUAUGCAUCUCAGGAUGAUUUCAGUUUUUCAGGAGACUUUCUGGAAGAAGUAGAAAAGACCUGGAUUGUACACCUGUGCUGGCUUCUCAAACCACUGCUCGGCUCCUUCCCAAAUGAGCUCUGAAGACGGAAAUCUAAACUCUUAAUGAAGAUGACGUGCCUAUUGAUAUGGAGAAUGAAAAAGACAAUAAAUGCACCAUCUGGGCAACUGGGAGACUGUGAAGACAAAAGUGUGAUACAUUUUGAGUUCCUGAAGGGUAAUAGUGGUUUGGGUGAUUUCUCAAUGGCAAGUUGUUUUCGUUUUCUUUCCUGUUGUUACCCUUGUUUGAGAAAUUGUGAGGCUUAAAGUAUUACUGCCUAAAGUUUUUCAGAAAUGCAGAAAGUUGUCCAAGUGUUCCUGCUGAAAACUCAGACUGAAGGGAGUAAACUCUUCCCUUGCUAUGCUGUAACUGGUAAAUAAAAUAAAUACAGACCUGUCACCUUUCCAAGUGCUUGGGUUAAGGGUUAGUCAUCCUCUGCCCCCAGAUUUACACAGCAAUUUCUUGUUGUCAUGCUUCAGAAGUGAAGGAAUUUCUGAAGCAGCAUACCUCAACAGAAAAGAAUACUUCAGCUGAAAAAAAAAAAGUGUUUGGGUGGCAGUUCAUUUGGGUUAUGAACUACUUGUGGAUAAUGAAUUAAUCUUUCUCUAAUAAUCAAUUUGUGCAACAUCCAGGGGAAAAAAAAAAAAGAAGACUGUGGAUACCUUCUAACUGUUUUGCCAUUUUCCAAG